CGUGGACCUGGGUGCUGGCACUGGGCUGAAGGGCUGCAAACACCGCCCAAUGGAAACAGGACGGCUUGCACAGUGAAUAAUGGAAGGAAAAUGAGGGGAGGAAUCCGUGAGGUGUUACCCAACCUCUAAGCUGCAUUCCAGCACUGGCAGACCUGGCCCUCCCAAAUAACCAGCUGAUUCCAAGUUUGAUGCCUGGAACACAGACUCCAUCCAACCUCUCUCCCCCUUGGGCUGACUUGAGACUCUUUGUACUCCCCAUACACUCAUCAUGGCCCAUCUUCCGAUGUUCACAAAGUCCUUGAGAUCACCCUAGGAGCCCCUAGCCCCAGUGAUUUCCUAGGAACCUCACUUCACUGUUCUACCUUAUCCCAGGCCACUUUAACACAGACCUGAUUGUAUAGAUACAAGUGCCUCCCCACCACCAGCAGCUUAGGAACAGGUGUGCAUAGCAUACCCUAUCCUUCUCAGAACCCAACAAUUGCUAUCCCCUGUCUCUGAGACCCAAAUCAUCCCCUUUACACAUAAGAAAGACAUCCAGAGCCAUGAUGAGGCUGGCUCUGCAUCACCCAAGUCGCACAUCACUUUCUUAAAUCCCACGCCAACACUUUUGUACCCUCCUACCUGUCCUACCAGAGUGUCCCUCCAGCCUCUGAACUUCUGCCUCUUCCAAGUACUUAAAGUGCCUUCUCAAACCUCAGCCACGGACCGGCACACCCACCAGCUCCCAGUACCUCCCCAGGAGCAGGGGCUCCAGCUCCUUCAGGUCGCUGAGGGUUUCUGGUCCAACACUCUGGGGUGGUAAAGGAUUUGAUCUCAGUAACUCAACUCCACCCCUGCAGAGCUGAAUUCGCAGUCCUUUUUCUCCACAACCAUCAGAGCUCCCACCUGGACGAUCGCACGUUUGCAUGAUCUCUUCACUCCAUUAACACCCCUUCUAACGCCCACACAAUCCAGGGAAAACACUUAUCGAUCACCUCUCAACUCUCCCCGCUCCUCACUCACCGCUCGGAGUGCAAGCAAAAACCAGAUUUCUUCACGACUGGAACUGCGGUAGCUACUCCAGAAGUUGGAGAUUUUCCUUGACGACACUUACCCAAGACUGCGGAAUCUGCGCAGGCGCCUCGAGCCUGACCUGUACGCAAGCGCAGAAGUAAGCAGCGAUGGCGUAGGUGGGGACUUUUUGCGGAGAGCCUCUGGCUACGGAGCUGUGGCCUUUGACCCCCACCCUACACCUUUGAUGCUCCCGAGCCGAAGAUGCUGUUAGGGUGAAGCGGUCUUCACAGAUUAGCUCCCGAAGACGAUGAUGACGCUACCGCUACCUCCUGAGUGUUUUCUGUGCCUCAAAGAGGUUUUCUUACUACCCAUCCCCCGACAAAUGACCCUGAGAGCCAGAGGUUAAGUAAUCCGUCUGAAUUAUCACGCUAGUCAAUAAUGGGGCUAAAAUUUGAACCCGGGUCCCUGAUACCAUACUGGUGUGUCCUAGGUACUAUGGAAAGAACCCCUAAGUCUUCAGGGAUUCAGAAGGUAAAAAGCACAAAGCCCUAGCAUAUGAUAAGCCCUUUAAAUAGGUGGAAAUUAUAGUGUGUACUUAAUUAAAAGAAUUACUUGCGCCCCACAGGACUGCUGAAUCAGUCUCCAGGGAUGGGGUUGAAAAUCUAUUUUUAAAACCAUCUCUAGCAGUUCUUAGGAGCUAGCAGGUUAGAGAAAUAUUACUAGCUUUCCUGUACUACUGAAUCUUCAUUCCUGCACUACUGAAUCUUCAUUCCUGCACUACUGAAUCUUCAUUCCUGCAGCCCUGAGAGGUCCAGCCUGCAAUUCACCCAGCACCCUCCACUCAUCUUAGUGCCUGGUGACGGUGCAUCAAGGUGAAGGCUGGGCCGGGGAUUUAGCUCAGUGGUUUCGCCGCCUUCCACGCAAGCUCAAGGACACGAGUUCGAUCCCCGGUACCAAAAAAAAAAAAAAGCCGGAGGCUACAGGAGUUCCAGGUAGGAUCUGGAGUCACAAAUCACAGACUAGAGUGCAAGGGUAGGACACCAUCUACCCCAUGCCACACUAGGCUGGAAAUUCCCUGAGAAGACUCAACAAAUAUUAACUAAUCCUUCUAGAUGCUGGCACUGUGCUAGUCACAAAGGGGAAAAGAUGCUUCAUGUAAGUGGCCAUCGCCUUCAGGCCUAGGAGGAAUGAUCACAGGAGCGACUACAGCAUCUUGGAGCUAAAUCUAGGAGAGAAAGGAGUCCACACCAGGAACACAGCCCAGCAAAGAGUGGGGAGGAAGGACUGGGAAGCCCCCCAGGGCGUGGACGUGGGGACAUGACACUUCCCAUUUACCAACACGUGGU